GUGACCUGCUGUGGUGACACUCAAUAACACAAAAUCCAUACAGAUGCAUUUGGGGUUUGAGAGUGGCAGUGUUGCAAAAACAGAGCUGACAACCCCAAUUACAGACCAAGAGAUCUCCUCUGUUUUAGAGCUCUGGUCUCUGAGAGCCCAAACAAGAAAAACAUAUCUUCCUAGAGCCUCUUAAACAUCCUUAAUAUUGGCUUAGACUAAAUCUUUUAAACCUAAGAAAGGUAGAUAACAUUAUAGAGAUAAUAUUUUAGUGGUAAAAGAAAAGAAAAAAAUGCUGGCUGGCCUGAUUUGCUUUCCUGUGUUUAUACAAAACUAGAUAUUGACUGGACAUAGUCAGACUGUGAUUUUUUACAGGUAACUCCGGCGUGUGAGGACGUUUUUGUCACACAAAAGAAAAAAGGUGAUGUUAUUUAUACUGAUGCUGCAGUAACUGCAACUGGCCAUUAGGUGGCAAUGCUUUUCUUUCUUGAGCACUGGCAAGAUUUGGGGUUUUCUACAUUGUUUAGGUUAGUGUGUGUGUGUGUGUGUGUGUGUGUGUGUCGUCAUCCAUACAUUAACAGGCAUGCAGACCAAUCCAAUAGCUUUGUGCCUAUACACUGAGACAACAAAGAGACUGUGGUAAAGAGACCCUGUAAUGGCAGCAAUGAUGGGAACGAGGUCAGUCAGGUUCAUCGAUGAUACUCCAAAUAAAAACGUGGAACAAAAAUAAGAAAUUGGUUGUUUUUUUAUGAAUACAAUUAAGAAUUAUACAUUAUAGGCCAACAGUGUAUUGUGUUAUUCUACUCUCAGCCUUCUUAAUACAAUUAUGUGCUGUGAUUCAGUUAGGGUUACACUCUCUAUGCUAAUAGAUCCCUCUGGUGAGCUCACUGGUAUUUUAUGGUCACCUAUUGAUUGUGUGAUUAGCGGCCCAGCAGAGCCCACCUACUUCAUGUCCAGUUGAGAGUAAUGGUUAUUGAGUGAGUUGUCAAUGGUAAAGAAGGACAUUGACCAAAGGAGCACAGUGGAGGUGGUGGUGCUGGUGGAAGGGGGGCUGAGGUACUGACCUUCACCUCGCCUCUAUUCCUGCCCACUAAUUUGAUAAGACAAACCAGGAACCACGCUGACCUCCACCUGUGACCCCAGCAUGCACCCAUUUCUCCGCCCUAACCUGACUCUUUAUCACAUGAGGCCAGGAAGUGCAUCCUGUGUUUCAGCCCUGGAGAAGGUCCGUCCAUUAGGUCGACUAUCCUUCAUCCUGCGGGUGAUGAUGCAAUUUGAGAGCAAUGCAAUCAUUCCACAUGAUCCAAUCUUGGAUACAACCACAGGAUUAAAGUGGACCCUCAAGCCAGUCCUCAUUUUUAUAUAUUUUUGUUGUCCAUAAAACAAGAGCAGCAGCCUCAUAUUGGUAUGUUUGUGGGUGUAUUGAUCACAAUGAAAAAUCCUUCGUUUUCUUCUUCUUCUGAUGCAAAAAGGAUUAAAAAUAAAACUUUGGUUGCCCUUUGUCUUUGUAGGAUAUGAACGAAUGUUUAAAAAAAGAAGGUUAGGUCAUUAUUAGAUGGUGUCGUUUGUCCUCCGACCAACGCAAGGACAACAUUCAGAUCUUAACUCUGAUAUAAGGGUCAAAAAUCAUCUAAACACAACAAAUGUGGUCACAUUAGAUACCGGAUUAAGGCUUCCUGUGUUCCAGACCUGUUUCCUCAGCAUUUGGUUAUGCAGAUGAAGGAGUGGAAAUAAACUCCCCAGAGAGUCCCUGAGGGGGGAGAGAAGAUAAUGGGGGGUAACUUUGAGUGGAUUGAACAGACCACAGAUGUUCAAAGAAGAAGAAUAACAGAGCAGUGAACGUAAAGGAUCACAUACUGAACUAACAGCCAAGAACUAAGCACUACAACUGCAAACUAAAAUGUGAAAUUGUGAAAUGCAGAACUGUGAAUGCUGACCUGACGUUUUCUCAUCUGGAUUGAUUGACAGGGUUGAUUUUAAUGAUGAUUACCAAAACUAUAGCAACCUUGAUGGUUCGCUCAUAUAUGAUGAUAUUCACCGUUUAAACGUUUGAAGUGUAGCUGACUGAUCGCAAGGGGACCACUGACUUUUGGAUAGUGUUUAUUUCAAACACGAAUCAUGUGUUAUUUGGCUUAAUUUACAUAAUCAAUAUAUCUGGAUAGUUUCAAAUGUACAAAUUAAUCAUUUUUGUUCAGUGGGUCAGAUUUUUAAUGGGACUCAGAAACUAAUAUUGUAAGAUGAAGUGAAAAAUAAGGUCCCAUUAAAGCUGAAUUGAAAGGGAACUAACCCACAUGUUAUCAAAUGUGCAAAAUCAAGAGCAGAUUGAGUUGAUAGUGGGUCCCAGUGGUGGUAUUUUGUCUAAAAGCAAAUAUGUAUUUGUAGAUCCCUUUCAGUCUGAACCCUUUGGAAAUUAGGAGCAGAAGUAAGGUUUGAAAAUCAAAGUCACGACUGCUUGUUGCUACCAGGAUGUAUCAUUACUAAAGCUGCCAUUCCUUUUUUAAAAUUGAAACCAUGAUUUAAAAAGAUAUUUUAAUCUGUAAGGGGCUUUUGAUUGUAUGAUCUAGUUUGAAUAAGAUUAGAUUAAGGUUUUGGAAGUCACCCAAGAAUAGACAGAGUAAAAAAACAAAGUCCCGAAUAUUAUGAACUUGGAAUAAAACUGAAAUCCCUCUUCGCUUUUGGGUUUGGCUGCAAGAGUGUUAGUUGGAAAGGAACAUUCAAUUCAUCGCUUUAGAUGUGUGUCAAGUUUCUUGUAUUAAAGAAUGUUAAAGUUACCAAAAGUACAAAGUGAAAUUAUGUUUACAUAAUACUGAAACUUAAAAUGCAUACUUCAUCGGGGACAGUGGUGACAUAUCACUGAUGGCAAACUACGGUUCUUGCAGACAUGUUAACUGGUGUCUGUUUACUGGCUUAGAUACCACUAGAAGAUUCAGAGCAACACAUCAAACCCCAGACAUUUGAUAUUCAUUUCAAAGAGAUAUUUAAACUGUUUUUGGAAAGUUAAGUUAAUUUAAACUUGACUGUAAAUAAGGACGUUUUAAACCAAACCACUUUUAACUUUUUAGCUUUUGAACUCUGCAAUCACUUUUUUUGUUUUCAAUACACAACUCUGAAUGAAGGGCUAUACUGCUCUCUAUCUCCUGAGAAUGACUAAGAAACAGGUUUUAACAAGAGUCGGCUGUCCUAAAAGGAUAUGGUAUGCCCUUGUUGUUUCUACUUCUUCUGUUUGUACCCUCUAAUUGCUCCCCAAAAUCUGUUGUUAAGAUUUUUAAGACAGAAGAACAGAUACACAGCAAUGACAGACUGAAUCAUUCAUUUAAUGCCUGAAGCCACAAUGAAGAUAACUGAAUAACAUGUCCCCCGUCUCCACCGACCACACCACCCUAGUCCAGUUUAACUUCCUAUUCAGCUGCCCAGGAGACAGCUGGGCAAACACUGACCCGUAUCCUCCUCUGUCUCCGUGAACCCAUAAGCUGACCUCACCCCAUCUAGCUCCCUAUUUAGCCCCCCCUGCACCCUCUGUUGGCCCCUCAGUUUAAGCGGCCCACCUCACCAACUAAGCAACUGGACCUUGUGCCCACCCAGGUCUGCAGUCCCCUGGAGGGAGCGAUGUGUGAGACUCAAGAAUUCACAACACUUAAGAGUUUGGGCAAAUACAGAAGGUCGUUUUACACAACAAGCAGGGUCAGCUUCUUUAGGCAUGACUAGAAAACCAGGCACUGCUGCCAACCCCUUCUCUCUCGCUUUCUUUCCUUUCUUCUUUCUUCUCUUUUUCCAUGUGCUGAAUAUGUAAACGUUUAUUCCCUUGCUUUAUGUUUUCUGCCAUAGUCUGAUGACAGACAGAUGAAGCUUAACUGAACAUAUAGGAUCCCUCUCUUUCAGUUAUUUCUGUAUAGCUUCUCCCUCUCCAUCUCUUGUUCUGUGUUUAACACAGUCACACAAAGACCAAGAACAAACCUCGCCUGAUUUAUUCCCCAGCGAGUACACUCUUUAACCCUUCCAAGGUUCAGGCAGUAUAGGCCUUAUAUAAUCUGUGGAUUACAAAAAUGAUUACAAACAACUAUAGGCUAAAAACACAACUUUGUUUAAAAUGUUCUGCAGAGUUUUAUUUUUAGACUGUGAAGAAGUAUUGUAAGUAAACAGAGUAAACACUUGAGAUGAGAUGAAUCAUUUCUCAAACAUCGGCCUCAGAUAUGAUCGCACAUACUCAGGUGGAGAAUCAUCAUCCUACUAUGUUGUAGCUAUCAUUACUAUGAACUGCCUGAUCUGAGUGAUGCUCACUCUGCAUUUGCUUAAUGUUCAGUUACAGAUAUGGCAACCCCACCCUAGACAAACCACAAUGGCUCCAUAGCGCCCCCGACAAAAUUUCAAAAAUUAAGCCCCUCCCUUGUGUGUGACUUACAGCUAUGGAAUCUGGGACGCUUAUGAAGAACCUUGAGGAAGACCAUAUCAAAAAAAUCCUCUGUUUAUGUCAAAGGGCGUGGCCAUGACGUCCUUUCAAACUCUGAUGUCUUUUCACUGUGAAUGACCUACAACACUCAAAGGCAGUCACAAGUACCAACCAUCAUAAAGGUAAGUGCUGCUGUGGAGAGCAUUGCACCACAGAUGGCAGGUGGUGUGAAAUGUUGGCAGUGCGCUGGGGAGGUGGUUUAUGGAGGUAGCGCCACGACACUGCCCAGGCUUCUAAAUUUUUCUGAUGCUACAGGACAUAUCAUGAUAAAACUUAGUGCGAAAUUGCAUUUCUGAGUAUUUCUGCAUUCCAAUAGUAGUGAACCUUUCACAGACCCAAACAGCAGCUUCAGACACAAUGAGAUUUCCUAUGUCACAACUGCAAGCUCCGCCCCCCAAGCCCUGCUAUGAAGGCCACAUUUGGAAAAGUAGAGGUGACAAUCACGGAACAAGCAUGUGCAUUAGAAUUAAGAAAGCUAAUUAUGAUAUUAGCUGUCAUCGUGUCCCUAAAGAAAUUAGUGCUCAAGAGCUAAAUAGCUCCUAUGUUAGUUUCUUCUACUGCACCGCCAAUGUUAGGCCGCAAGCUAACUCAGGGAGAAGUGAGCAGAGCAGAGCUGUCACUGCCCAUGACUCAGAGGCGAAUUGCUAAUGAGCUACUAGAGCUCUGCAGAAGAAAAGCCAUUGAAAAUAACACAGGUAACGUGAUUUUGGCUAAAAACGUCAUAAUCACAAGACCACUGAUAAUGCUUUAAGUAGUAAAAAAAAUGAUCGGAGUGGGACUUUAAACUCUCAGGACCAGGAGAAGCUGAGUUCACCUGCGCAGAGCUAUGGAAGACAAAAAUGGAAAGAAAGACACAAGCAACAUACAGACGUAGAAGUUGUUUGUCUUUCAAAUGUUGCGGAGUAAGAGUAACAAGUUUCCUGAUAAAAUAAUACUCAAGUGAAGUACUUACACAAGGUGUAAUUUAGUGCAGCACUCUGGUAAAUGUACUUUGUUAGUGUCCUUCACUGACUAUCACUUACUUUAUUGAACAGGAGGAUAUAGUAGCUUACUCAUCAGCCUCUUUAUAGGACCUCUGUGUGGUUGGUCAGUUAUAAAGGCAGGUUUUCUUUUAGUACUUCAUAUUGAUCUACGAAAAUCUACAAACUGGAAACAAUGGUCAAAGGAUCUAAAUCUUGAUCUUGCCAAGUAGAGGUAAAGUUGAUAACCAGACACCAAAAAUUCUAAAUUGCCAGUUUUUUAAAAUCUGUUUGUGGUGGACCGAAACUUACUGAUGCUUUUUUAAGACGUACAAAAGCAAACAAAACCAUCAGCAAUGAGACUGACUGUGUAUGUGCUGUAAUUUUUAAUGUCAAAGAGUUUUUAGCCAAGCAGCUGAGGAAUGUUUUCCAAAUUGAACAUUCACCUGCUUUGUCCACAGAGAUGCCAGAAUUAACACAAACUGAAA
rnacentral:lncRNA from 1 species